rnacentral:rRNA from 1 species
AUUGAACGCUGGCGGCAUGCCUUACACAUGCAAGUCGAACGGCAGCACGGGAGCAAUCCUGGUGGCGAGUGGCGAACGGGUGAGUAAUGUAUCGGAACGUGCCCAGUCGUGGGGGAUAACGCAGCGAAAGCUGUGCUAAUACCGCAUACGAUCUAUGGAUGAAAGCGGGGGAUCGCAAGACCUCGCGCGAUUGGAGCGGCCGAUAUCAGAGUUGGUAGUUGGUGGGGUAAAGGCCCACCAAGCCGACGAUCUGUAGCUGGUCUGAGAGGACGACCAGCCACACUGGGACUGAGACACGGCCCAGACUCCUACGGGAGGCAGCAGUGGGGAAUUUUGGACAAUGGGCGCAAGCCUGACCCAGCAAUGCCGCGUGCAGGAUGAAGGCCUUCGGGUUGUAAACUGCUUUGGUACGGAGCGAAACGGCUUCCACUAAUACUGGGGGCUAAUGACGGUACCGUAAGAAUAAGCACCGGCUAACUACGUGCCAGCCGCCGCUGUAA